rnacentral:rRNA from 1 species
GCGCCAGUCGUCAGCAACGUUUUCAUUAAUCAAGAACGAAAGUUAGGGGAUCGAAGAUGAUCAGAUACCGUCGUAGUCUUAACCAUAAACUAUGCCGACUAGGGAUCGGGCGUUGUUCUUUUUAUGACUCGCUCGGCACCUUACGAGAAAUCAAAGUUUUUGGGUUCUGGGGGGAGUAUGGUCGCAAGGCUGAAACUUAAAGGAAUUGACGGAAGGGCACCACCAGGAGUGGAGCCUGCGGCUUAAUUUGACUCAACACGGGAAAUCUCACCAGGUCCAGACACAAUAAGGAUUGACAGAUUGAGAGCUCUUUCUUGAUUUUGUGGGUGGUGGUGCAUGGCCGUUCUUAGUUGGUGGAGUGAUUUGUCUGCUUAAUUGCGAUAACGAACGAGACCUUAACCUACUAAAUAGUGCUGUUAGCUUCGGCUGAACUGGCACUUCUUAGAGGGACUAUCGAUUUCAAGUCGAUGGAAGUUUGAGGCAAUAACAGGUCUGUGAUGCCCUUAGACGUUCUGGGCCGCACGCGCGCUACACUGACGGAGCCAGCAAGUACUAUCCUUGGCCGAAAGGUCCGGGUAAUCUCGUGAAACUCCGUCGUGCUGGGGAUAGAGCAUUGAAAUUAUUGCUCUUCAACGAGGAAUUCCUAG